CACCUUCUAAUUACCCUUCUCCCCUCGUUAAAACAGAUCCCCAAAUCCUAAAACUAGGGUUCCUCAAUGUCAUCUGCUUCAUAGUUCUGCUGUACAACCAAGGGUAUAAAAUAGUUAAAGUUGAUUUACUCUUCCAUCAUGGUGGUGAUUGGAUAAGAGAACCACAUCUACUAUACUCUAAGAAAUUGGUUCACACUUGGCCGGGGUACUCCUGCAAUGACAUCAAGGGGAUUGGUUGAGAAGGACUUCGAGCAGAUUGCCGAGUUCCUCCACAGGGCUGUUACCAUCACCUUGAACAUCCAGAAGGAGUACGGAAAGCUUUUGAAGGAUUUCAAUCAACGAACUUGGAAGGGGAAGUUAUGGGGAAGUUCAAAACUUAGCUUCAACUCUACAAUGACAAAAUAUACAACUUUCCACCAUUUUCACGGUCUGAAAAAUGAAAAAAAAAUUGGAAAUGGAGCUUCAGAUUUUUAAAAAUGGAGGAAGGGGGUAUUUUGUACUGUUGGGCGUUGGGAAGGGGGUUUUACGCUCCUGUGCGUCGUGUUCCUCACGCUGCUGAUUAGGACCAACUGACGCCACAUGAUCAAUGGUCAAAUGUGUUUAUUAGUUAUGGAAAAAACGAGUUCGAGUGUUCAAAUGGGAAAGUUAUAAGUUUAUGUAUCGGCUUUAAAAAACCCGGCAAGUUUAAGUCGCCAGGAAGCCAUUUCGCCUUUAUUCUUUGGCCAAUAAGGUCGAGUUAGAGGUUGUUAAAAGUGAUAAGCUAAGGUUGAGAUAUGAAUGUAUUCCAGGGUGUCCAUUUGUACGUCAUAUAUAUGAGGAAAAAGGUUCUCCUGGAGUGAAAAUCAAAACUCUAAAUCCUGAACAUGAGUGUGAUCCAUCAUAUGACAACUCUAUGGUUGAUUACACUACUAUAGCUCAUUAUUUCAAGAAAAAAUUACAAGAUAAUCCAAAGUUUAAGGUAAAGGAAAUGAGGACUGAUUUAAAAGAAGCUUUUGAGUUAAAUGCCAGUAAAGGAAAGUGCAAGAGAGCUAAAAGGAUGGUUUUGGAAAUUUUAAAGGGGAGCUUUACAGAUGGUUACAAGAAAUUAGAGGCUUAUGCCAAUGAACUUAGAAACUCAAAUCCGGAAAGUGAUGUUGUAAUCAAUCUGUCUAAAGAGGAGGGAAAAGAAAAUUUCUUAGAAUGUAUAUUUGCUUCAAGGCAAUGAAGAUGGGAUUUAAGGAAGGUUUGAAACCCUUCAUUGGAUUAGAUGGCACAUUUCUUAAGGGAAAAGCCAAGGGACAAUUACUGGUAGCUGUUGGUCAAGAUAAUAUGAACCACUUUUAUCCUUUAGCUUGGGCAAUUGUAGAUAAAGAGAUAAAAAGAACUUGGAAUUGGUUCUUAGGGCUAUUGCAACAUUCAUUGGAACUCCAGAUGGGUGAAGGUAUAAGGAUCAAAGUGAUGAAUCAAUUGAGAGAACAUGAAGAUUCUGUGACUAAAUGGAGUGGUGAAUUCAGUCCUAAAACAAUGAAGCUAUACAAUGAAUAUAUGAAGAUAGCCCAAGUUUGUGAGUUGAUUCCAAUGGGGAUAAUGGAUUUGAGGUAUCAGAAGGGUCUGACAAGCAUAUUGUGAAUCUGAGAAUAAAAAGGUGCACUUGUAGGGCAUGGGACCUCACUGGAAUUCCAUGCCCACAUGCAAUUAAGGCCUUAUUGUACAAGAGGAUUGAUCCUCUUACUGAAAUGCAUUGGUUCCAUAGCAAGGAAGCAUUCUUGCUAACAUAUAAAUAUAAGUUGCAACCUGUAAGGGGAGAGAAAUUCCGGAAAGUUGACCCUUCUCAAGAAAUGGAACCUCCAGAGUUGGUCAAGCUAGCUGGAAGGCCUAAGGUUAAGAGAGACAGACAGAAAGAAGAGGCAUUUAAGAGGCAAGGAGAAUGGUCUCUUUCAAGGAAAGGUAGAGUAAUGACUUGUAGUAAUUGUGGAGAGCCAAAUCACAAUGCUCGAGGAUGUGACAAGCCAAAACAACCAAAACAGCCAAAAACAAAAAAAAGUAGUAUUUAAAGUAAAAAAGAAGCAACAGCCUACCGGGGGUUUAAAUGAUGAAGAAGAGGUGGGUCCAAUCGAAGAAGACAUUAAUCUAUCAGCCCCCCAACACUCACAAGAUAGCCAAAGCAACACUUGUGUAUUCAUGCAUACUCCAGGAUUGCAAAACAGUAGGGGUUCAUUUCCAGACUUUGAGAACCCCUGCUCUGAGCAUGAGCAUGAGGCAGACCCUGAUUUAAGGCCCAUGGUUAUCUCAGAAAUACUUACUAGACUCCAAAGGGGUAGUAAAAACUUAUACCAACUGGGACCAGGCAAAUUAGCUUCAGAGGUGACCAUACAGGAGCUAGUAUUCCAACAAAUCUUCCAUAUACACCAGACAACUUAAUGUGGAAGGGCAAAGCUGCUAUGACUACAAAUCAAUUGGAAGUUGAACGUCAAAAAAGGAUUGGAAAGUUGAAGCUAAGAAGGGACAUUUUCAGUAGUUUAUUACUGUUUAAGACUUUUAUUUUGUAACUACUGUUUAUGACAGUACUCUUUUGGUUAAUUUGCACUAGUUUGUGUUUUGGUUGGUUAAUUUGGUGAUGUAUUUACUGCUUAUGACAGUACUCUUUUGUAAUUACUGCAUAUGACAAUACUCUUUUGGUUAAUUACUGAUUAGGUUUUGGACUAGCA